rnacentral:rRNA from 1 species
AUUGAACGCUGGCGGCAUGCCUUACACAUGCAAGUCGAACGGCAGCACGGGGCAACCUGGUGGCGAGUGGCGAACGGGUGAGUAAUGCAUCGGAACGUACCUUUCAGUGGGGGAUAACGUAGCGAAAGUUACGCUAAUACCGCAUAUUCUGUGAGCAGGAAAGCAGGGGAUCGCAAGACCUUGCGCUGAUUGAGCGGCCGAUGUCAGAUUAGCUAGUUGGUGAGGUAAAGGCUCACCAAGGCGACGAUCUGUAGCGGGUCUGAGAGGAUGAUCGGCAACACUGGAACUGAGACACGGUCCAGACUCCUACGGGAGGCAGCAGUGGGGAAUUUUGGACAAUGGGGGCAACCCUGAUCCAGCCAUGCCGCGUGAGUGAAGAAGGCCUUCGGGUUGUAAAGCUCUUUCGGCCGGGAAGAAAUCGCACGGGCUAAUACCCUGUGUGGAUGACGGUACCGGAAUAAGAAGCACCGGCUAACUACGUGCCAGCCGCCGCAGAAUAC